CCUGUGGCUCCUGAUUCAGCUCCAGGUAGAAGCUGGACCAGGUUGGGUUAAAGCUACAGUCCAACUCCUGAGCCCCCUUCUCCACGGAGCACCUGGCUUGUUUCACGGGCACACCUAGAACCCUCACCUGGCCAACUGCCCAAACUGCACGUUCAGGUAAAAUAUGCUGUGAAGAUUUGAACAUCACAAGUCAAAGCUGAACAUCACAAGUCAGAGCUGUUUACCUGGAUACAGAAUCAUCACAGAGAGAUCUGGAUGAGACUGGCAGUUGCCAAGUGGCAUUAUAGUCCAUUGAAGACAUAGUAUCAGCUCUGCCUCCGAUGGGUCUGAUGCAGGCAGAGCAUUUCUUUGUGGAAGACAAUUGCCCCUACACUUCGAAGGCUGUUUGAACACUGAUACCUGUCAACUAACACAUCUGAUGAAAAGCUUCAAUUUAGACAUAAAUUCUUCUACAGCAAGAAAUCUAUAAAUUUAUAAUUAGAAUCCCUUGCUGUUCAAUAUUUGUACAUAAUACAGAGUACGAGAGGAUUAUGAAAUAUUGAAAGCUGAAUUCAUUAUUCAUAGCCCACAACAUACAAUAAAUAUUCUUUGAAAUACAACAACAACUUCGAGGAAUCCAUACUCCAAUAGCUGUGAACAUCUCACCCACGAUGGCUCCGGAUGCCACGACGCACACCCUCCGUUUUUCCAGAUUAGGAUUCCGGUCAGGGUUGACACUUGCUGUUUUUAAUUUUAAUUUUAUCAUAAGCAGUUUAAGACUGUUGCCAGUGGUAAUUUGCAAUUUUUAUCAAGACCUCUUCAUUAUAGCUUCUGACAGGACAGAUGCUGUAAUUAAUCAUGCAAGACAACUGGGGAUAGUGGUCGCACUGUCCUCAAAGAGGGGCCACUACAGAGCAAGAAAAGGGGGGAAGAGACGGGCCGAGCAAUAAUUAUUUUGGCUUAAGGAUUAGCAUUCACCAUCCGCUUUUAAUGGUGCGCACAACACAAGGUCGGCCAGCUCGCGCCCAGACACAGCACAGUUGCCUGUUCCUCUCCACCUACCUGGCCCCGGUAUCUUCGCUGAAAGGUGAUCACCAAAAAAAAAAACAUUUCCAGUGAGUUUUUUGGGUCAUGCCAUCCAUAUUCUCAGCUCCGAAGAUGGUCUCUCCAACGAUGCUGGGCUCAAAUGAAACUGGGCAUGAGGCCUGUUUUCCCACCUCACGUGUAUUCAAGGACCAAGAGGAGAUUUGACAUAUCAUUUUAUUUGAAAAGUGAACAGUUUCCUGGUUGUUGCAUCAAAAUACAGUCCACAGUUUUUACUGAAAUGUGUUUAUUCUAUAGCAAGAUAAAAGCAUUUUUUUUUUGUUUUAGUUAAGCAAAAUACAAACAACUUAAUCGCUGCUAUCGUAACUCAUAAAAAAGUAUAAAACAGCAUAAAAACACAAUAAGCAACGUAGCAAUGAAUGGUUUAUGUCACCAGUGUGUACGUUAAAGCCUCAUUUAUGAAAAC